UACAGGGGGGGUAAGCGUUGUUCGGAUUCACCGGGCGUAAAGGGUGCGUAGGUGGUGGGGUAAGUCUCGUGUGAAAGCUCGCAGCUUAACUGCGAAAAGUCACGGGAUACUAUUCUGCUGGAGGCUUGGAGGGGGGACUGGAAUACUUGGUGUAGCAGUGAAAUGCGUAGAUAUCAAGUGGAACACCAGUGGCGAAGGCGAGUCUCUGGACAUUUCCUGACGCUGAGGCACGAAAGCCAGGGGAGCAAACGGG
rnacentral:rRNA from 1 species